rnacentral:rRNA from 1 species
UACGUAGGGUGCAAGCGUUGUCCGGAAUUAUUGGGCGUAAAGAGCUCGUAGGCGGUUUGUUGCGUCGGCUGUGAAAACCUGAGGCUCAACCUCAGGCCUGCAGUCGAUACGAGCAGACUAGAGUGUUGCAGGGGAGACUGGAAUUCCUGGUGUAGCGGUGAAAUGCGCAGAUAUCAGGAGGAACACCGGUGGCGAAGGCGGGUCUCUGGGCAACAACUGACGCUGAGGCACGAAAGCGUGGGUAGCAAACAGG